rnacentral:tRNA from 1 species
UGGGGUGUGGCUCAGUGGUAGAGCACUUGCCUAGCACCUGUGAGAUACUGUGUUCAAUUCUCAGCUCCACAU